UUAGAAGGCCUGAUGUGUGUGAGAUU
rnacentral:rRNA from 3 species